UACGUAGGGUCCAAGCGUUGUCCGGAAUUAUUGGGCGUAAAGAGCUCGUAGGCGGCUUGUCGCGUCGUCCGUGAAAACCUGGGGCUCAACCCCAGGCUUGCGGUCGAUACGGGCAGGCUCGAGUUCGGUAGGGGAGACUGGAAUUCCUGGUGUAGCGGUGAAAUGCGCAGAUAUCAGGAGGAACACCGGUGGGGAAGGCGGGUCUCUGGGCCGAUAUUGACGCUGAGGAGCGAAAGCGUGGGGAGCGAACAGG
rnacentral:rRNA from 1 species